GUCGUAACAAGGUCUCCGUUGGUGAACCAGCGGAGGGAUCAUUACCGAGUUUACAACUCCCAAACCCAUGUGAAUUUACCUUUACGUUCCCUCGGCGGCGUUCCCCUCGGGGUUCCCGCCAGAGGACCAAACAAACCCUUUGCAUUUAUUAGUAUUAUUCUGAGUGAUUUAAUCAAUAAAUCAAAACUUUCAACAACGGAUCUCUUGGUUCUGGCAUCGAUGAAGAACGCAGCGAAAUGCGAUAAGUAAUGUGAAUUGCAGAAUUCAGUGAAUCAUCGAAUCUUUGAACGCACAUUGCGCCCGCCAGUAUUCUGGCGGGCAUGCCUGUUCGAGCGUCAUUUCAACCCUCAAGCCCAGCUUGGUGUUGGAGAUCGGCACAAGCGUCCUCCGGGUCGCCGCCGUCUCCCAAAUCUAGUGGCGGUCUCGCUGUAGCCUCCUCUGCGUAGUAACUCACCUCGCACUGGAACGCGGCGCGGCCAAGCCGUUAAACCCCCAACUUCUGAAGUUUGACCUCGGAUCAGGUAGGACUACCCGCUGAACUUAAGCAUAUCA
rnacentral:rRNA from 1 species